CCUACGGGUGGCAGCAGUGAGGAAUAUUGGUCAAUGGUCGGGAGACUGAACCAGCCAAGCCGCGUGAGGGAUGAAGGUACAGAGUAUCGUAAACCUCUUUUGUCAGGGAACAAAGGCGGGGACGUGUCCCCGGAUGAGUGUACCUGAAGAAAAAGCAUCGGCUAACUCCGUGCCAGCAGCCGCGGUAAUACGGAGGAUGCGAGCGUUAUCCGGAUUUAUUGGGUUUAAAGGGUGCGGAGGCGGGCUGUUAAGUCAGGGGUGAAAGCACGGGGCUCAACCCUGACACCGCCGUUGAUCCUGGCAGUCUCGAGUUGGAGAGAGGUAUGCGGAAUGCGCGGUGUAGCGGUGAAAUGCAUAGAUAUCGCGCAGAACUCCGAUUGCGAAGGCAGCAUGCCGGCUCCACACUGACGCUGAGGCACGAAAGUGUGGGUAUCGAACAGGAUUAGAUACCCUAGUAGUC
rnacentral:rRNA from 1 species